AGUGAACGCUAGCUACAGGCUUAACACAUGCAAGUCGAGGGGUAGCAGGGUAGCAAUACCGCUGACGACCGGCGCACGGGUGAGUAACACGUAUCCAACCUUCCCAUAACUCGGGGAUAGCCUUUCGAAAGAAAGAUUAAUACCCGAUAGUACUUUUUCAAGGCAUCUUGAGAAAGUUAAAGAUUUAUUGGUUAUGGAUGGGGAUGCGUUCCAUUAGAUAGUUGGUGAGGUAACGGCUCACCAAGUCUUCGAUGGAUAGGGGUUCUGAGAGGAAGGUCCCCCACAUUGGUACUGAGACACGGACCAAACUCCAACGGGAGGCAGCAGUGAGGAAUAUUGGUCAAUGGGCGAGAGCCUGAACCAGCCAAGUAGCGUGAAGGAUGAAGGUCCUAUGGAUUGUAAACUUCUUUUAUAGUAGAAUAAAGUGAUCCACGUGUGGAUUUUUGUAUGUAUACUAUGAAUAAGGAUCGGCUAACUCCGUGCCAGCAGCCGCCGUAACAC
rnacentral:rRNA from 1 species